rnacentral:rRNA from 1 species
AACGAACGCUGGCGGCAUGCCUAACACAUGCAAGUCGAACGAACCCUUCGGGGUUAGUGGCGCACGGGUGCGUAACGCGUGGGAACCUGCCUUUAGGUUCGGAAUAACUCAGAGAAAUUUGAGCUAAUACCGGAUAAUGUCUUCGGACCAAAGAUUUAUCGCCUUUAGAUGGGCCCGCGUUAGAUUAGAUAGUUGGUGGGGUAACGGCCUACCAAGUCGACGAUCUAUAGCUGGUCUGAGAGGAUGAUCAGCCACACUGGGACUGAGACACGGCCCAGACUCCUACGGGAGGCAGCAGUGGGGAAUAUUGGACAAUGGGCGAAAGCCUGAUCCAGCAAUGCCGCGUGAGUGAUGAAGGCCUUAGGGUUGUAAAGCUCUUUUACUAGGGAUGAUAAUGACAGUACCUAGAGAAUAAGCUCCGCUAACU